CCUGCUGGUGAUUUUAUGAAACACACAGUAAACUUUAACUGGUGAAUAUCUGUAUAUAGAUAAUCCUAAUGGCUAAAUUAAAGAAUUAGCAAUGUAUAAUUAACAAUUCAAUCCUGCAGUUCAGUUCAGUGCACAUGGCAUAUAAAAUAAAUCUGCAUGCAGAGAACUGAAUAAAUGUAAAUGAAAACGUUAUUAUGUGUCCAGCUAAUGCUUAAUUACUUUAAUACAUAUGUUUUAAUUUGUACAACAUUAUACUACACACUGGACUCUGGAAUGGAAAAGUCUGGAUUUUUGUGAGUCUUUUUAUUUUUUAUCAGACUAACUUGCAAAUAAAUGAUUUAAAAUACUGUAGAACAUCUGAGGUCAGAGUUCAUAUAAAGCUGCCAUAAGUGCAUUGUGAGUCGAGUAGUGGCUGUCAGAGCAGAGUAUAAUUAGGAUAUUUGUGGAGAUGGAUGCAAAGAGCAGAACAUGUUUAUUAGGGACAAAAAACAAACAAAACAACAACAAAGAAACAAACCAAAACAGAGAAAACUUAAAGUGUAAAACAAGGCGCUAAGUUAAAACUUGCAAGAACAAAAUCUAAACACGGGGCAAACAAUAACCAAAAUCUCACUAAUCACAAAAACACAAACACGAACUCAAACUUGAUGCACCGACAAACAAAGAGGGAACACAGGGAACUUAAAUAAGGAGUGUAAUAAGAAAUAUAACACCCGUGUGACUGAUCAUAACAGGAAAUGUGGGAAACAGAAGAAGUGCGACACAGUGAGUGUCGGUGCCCUCUAGUGGUCCAGGGAGGAACUGCCUCUGGUGGGCUUCAUCUCAUUUACCAGCCUCUUCAUCAAAUCAGUUUUAUUAUUUAUUAUACAAAGUUUAUAAAUAAAAUGUUAUAUAUUUAAUUUCUAAACUGACAGGGUGCCAGUCCAUCGCACAGUCACAUACACACCAAUGAGCCUACCAUGCAUGUCUUUGGACUGGGGGAGGAAGCCGGAGUGGGAGAACAUGCACUCUCCACACACCCACACACACACACACACACACACACAGGGCCAUAGUGGGAAUCCAACCUCUGACCCUGGAGGUGUGAGGCAAACGUGCUAACCACUAAGCCACCGUGCGCCCUAAAAUGCUCUAAUUUGUCAUGAAAUUAGCGUGAACAUGCUGUCUAAAGCAAAUAUAAAGAAAAUAAAAGAAUUAUAGUAGUUUGUGACAGAUUGGUAAGAAUAAAAAUGAAAAUAAAAAAAAUUAUGAGUAAAAUAAAUAAAUUACUAAACUUGUUAAAGUCAGUAAAAUAGAGAAAGUUAGAAAUUGAAAAAUAAGAGACAGCAAAUGAUAAAGGCAGAGUGAUAUAAAGUUAUUGUUUAUUUACAGUUUAGUAAAAUCAGAUAUAAAUAGGGUUAGAGGUAAGUGCAAUAUUAAUGUGUGUAAUAUUAAUGAGUGGUUUAUAAAAAUGCUCUCACCAGUGAGAAACAGGAGAAACAGAUUCAGCUUCAUGAUGGACGGACAGCUGAGGAGUCAGAAAAAAAAUCACAAUCUGAAGGACAAAAUAAAAGUCUCACCUGCAGUUUUGUUUGUGUUACCGAUUGUUCUACUGCCGACUUCUGGUCAAUUUUGUUGUCACGGGACGUUCCGAGGUGAACUGACCAUCUGACGAGACAACUGGAGCCCAAAAACUCCGAUUGAUGACCUCAGUGGUUCAGGAUGUGACUGACGUCCAGAUAAUCGAUGGAGAUAUUCUUCUGACGCACAGCCAUAUGUGGACAUUUUCCAAAUUUAUCUAAGCCUUAGACAAUCAGAAUCAUUCAACCUGACGUAAUGACUAGCUUAGUGAUUGUGUGAAAGUAUAAUUGUUGAUGAUGAGUGUGUACACAGAGCGGCCUACAAACUCCUUGCUGAGUGUGAAGCUGACUUCUGCAGAUGAAACUGCAAACUAUUCUUCAGUAAAAUUUUCUUCAGUUGAUCUGCAUCUCUUGACUCCGGGCCUUCAUUCAUCAUUUCUGGUCCUUGGGUCUUUAACUGUAAAUUCCCCUACAUGAUGAUGUGUAGUUAUGGAUGAAUAUAAAACACCUUUACUGAAUUAAUAGCAGCAGACCAUAAGAAGCUUAAUUCUAUUAUAGCUACAAAAUAGUCACAAAAGUUUUUUCCCCCUUUUUUUAUUGGCUAAAUUAUGAAUAUUCUUAAUGUUUGCAUAGAAAAUAGCAUUAGGUGGG